ensembl:snRNA U6 U6 spliceosomal RNA
UUUACAUAUACUAAAAUAUACUAAAACUGGAACCUUACAGAGAAGAUUAGCAUGGCCCCUGUGUGAGGAAAACACACAAAUUUGUGCUAUGUUCCAUAUUAAA